GCCGGCAUAGCUCAGUUGGUAGAGCAACCGCCUUGUAAGCGGUAGGUCACCAGUUCGACUCCGGUUGCCGGCACCA
rnacentral:tRNA from 1 species